GCUUAACCGGAGAAGUGCAUCGGAAACUGGGUAACUUGAGUGCAGAAGAGGACAGUGGAACUCCAUGUGUAGCGGUGGAAUGCGUAGAUAUAUGGAAGAACACCAGUGGCGAAGGCGGCUGUCUAGUCUGUAACUGACGCUGAGGCUCGAAAGCAUGGGUAGCGAACAGGAUUAGAUACCCUGGUAGUCCAUGCCGUAAACGAUGAGUGCUAGGUGUUGGAGGGUUUCCGCCCUUCAGUGCCGCAGCUAACGCAUUAAGCACUCCGCCUGGGGAGUACGACCGCAAGGUUGAAACUCAAAGGAAUUGACGGGGGCCCGCACAAGCGGUGGAGCAUGUGGUUUAAUUCGAAGCUACGCGAAGAACCUUACCAGGUCUUGACAUCUUCUGCCAAUCUUAGAGAUAAGACGUUCCCUUCGGGGACAGAAUGACAGGUGGUGCAUGGUUGUCGUCAGCUCGUGUCGUGAGAUGUUGGGUUAAGUCCCGCAACGAGCGCAACCCUUAUUAUCAGUUGCCAGCAUUCAGUUGGGCACUCUGGUGAGACUGCCGGUGACAAACCGGAGGAAGGUGGGGAUGACGUCAAAUCAUCAUGCCCCUUAUGACCUGGGCUACACACGUGCUACAAUGGACGGUACAACG
rnacentral:rRNA from 1 species